rnacentral:rRNA from 1 species
UCUGUUUAAAUAACAGGUGAAGAAAGGGCCGGGCAAGACCGGUGCCAGCCGCCGCCGUAAUACCGGCGGCUCGAGUGGUGGCCACUAUUACUGGGCUUAAAGCGUUCGUAGCUGGUUUGUUAAGUCUCUGGGGAAAUCUUCCGGCUUAACCGGAAGGCGUCUCAGGGAUACUGGCAGACUAGGGACCGGGAGAGGUGAGGGGUACUCCAGGGGUAGGAGUGAAAUCCUGUAAUCCUUGGGGGACCACCUGUGGCGAAGGCGCCUCACCAGAACGGCUCCGACAGUGAGGGACGAAAGCUGGGGGAGCAAACCGGAUUAGAUACCCGGGUAGUCCCAGCUGUAAACGAUGUGCGUUAGGUGUAUCAGUGACCACGAGUCACUGAGGUGCCGAAGAGAAAUCGUGAAACGUACCGCCUGGGAAGUACGGUCGCAAGGCUGAAACUUAAAGGAAUUGGCGGGGGAGCACCACAACGGGUGGAGCCUGCGGUUUAAUCGGACUCAACGCCGGGAAACUCACCAGAUAAGACAGCUGAAUGAUUGUCGGGCUGAAGACUCUACAUGACUAGCUGAGAGGAGGUGCAUGGCCGUCGUCAAGUUCGUACUGUGAAGCAUCCUGUUAAGUCAGGCAACGAGCGAGACCCACGCCAACAGUUGCCAGCUCGUCCUCCGGGAUGGAGGGGACACUGUUGGGACCGCCUCUGCUAAAGAGGAGGAAGGAAUGGGCAACGGUAGGUCAGCAUGCCCCGAAUUAUCUGGGCUACACGCGGGCUACCAUGGGUGGGACAAUGGGUAUCGACACCGAAAGGUGAAGGCAUCUCCUAAACCCAUCCUUAGUUCGGAUUGUGGGU